rnacentral:rRNA from 1 species
UACAUCGGAACGUGCCCAGUAAUGGGGGAUAGCUCGGCGAAAGCCGGAUUAAUACCGCAUACGCCCUGAGGGGGAAAGUGGGGGACCGCAAGGCCUCACGUUAUUGGAGCGGCCGAUGGCUGAUUAGCUAGUUGGUAGGGUAAAGGCCUACCAAGGCGACGAUCAGUAGCUGGUCUGAGAGGACGAUCAGCCACACUGGGACUGAGACACGGCCCAGACUCCUACGGGAGGCAGCAGUGGGGAAUUUUGGACAAUGGGGGAAACCCUGAUCCAGCAAUGCCGCGUGUGCGAAGAAGGCCUUCGGGUUGUAAAGCACUUUUGUCAGGGAAGAAAUCCUUUGGGCUAAUACCCUAGGGGGAUGACGGUACCUGAAGAAUAAGCACCGGCUAACUACGUGCCAGCAGCCGCGGUAAUACGUAGGGUGCAAGCGUUAAUCGGAAUUACUGGGCGUAAAGCGUGCGCAGGCGGUUGUGUAAGACAGGUGUGAAAUCCCCGGGCUUAACCUGGGAAUUGCAUUUGUGACUGCACGACUAGAGUGUGUCAGAGGGGGGUGGAAUUCCACGUGUAGCAGUGAAAUGCGUAGAUAUGUGGAGGAACACCAAUGGCGAAGGCAGCCCCCUGGGAUAACACUGACGCUCAUGCACGAAAGCGUGGGGGAGCAAACCAGGAUUAGAUACCCUGGUAGUCCACGCCCUAAACGAUGUCAACUAGUUGUUGGGGAUUUACUUCCUU